UCUGUGUUGUGUUCUUCUACAUAUCUAGCUACACAUAAUCAAUGUCACCCUUUUCCUCGGAUCAAUAACAGCAGCUCACCACUUCUUCUUAGCUUGUAAAUCUUAUUUCUCGAACUCAACAGAACCCAAAAUCACCUGCAAUUGUUUCUUCCUAUAAACCCUAAAAUCAUCACAGACUCAAAAUCAUCUAACAAUCUCGAUUAAUCUCAGUUUUUUCUCGAACAAUUGUGGAAAUAAACUGUCCUUCUUCCCUGUAAUUCCAUGGCAUACGCUCAAAUAUCCACUGCAAAUACGAAUUCCACCAUCAUCAAAACCCUAAUCAGCUUGAAUCUUGAGCAUAACUCCACAAACUCGAGUUCUAAUCAAAGGUAUAUAGUUUGGGUCUGAGUUAUUUAAUGAUUUGGAUAAUUGUUCCAGUCUGGAUAGAGUUAUCUGUGAAAAAACCAGGGAAGAAAAAAGCAUUGUUGCCAUUGAAUUUAUAGAUGAAUGGUGGAAAUGGAAGAGGUUUUUGAAGAGUCUGUGAGGAAUUAUGAGUUGGGUUCUCACCGGAUUCAGGUAUACAAUGAGUUAUGAGAAGAUUUAAUGAAUAUUUGAUCAAGAGAAACUAUCCAGAGAAGUCAACCUACUGCCGUAAGUUUUGGUAGUUAAUUAUGAAGAUUUAUGAAUGCUUCGAAGUUAUGGGUUUGAGCUAUACUUGUAUUGUGCAGGGAAAGAGAUAGAAAUGAUCUUAGAAAUCAAGAUGGAGUUCAUCUGUAAAGCACCAGUAAACUGCACACAUGUUGUUUGUAGAAAGGCUUAAACCAAUUACAAGGAGAAGAUGAACUACUGGAAGAGAUGUUACGAAGCUUCAGAAAUAUUGGCAGUAUUGGUGUUGUUAGUUGUUGUUGCUGGUGCAUUGGCUAGGUUUGAAGUGUUGUGCUACAAGAGAUGAGAAUGGUGGUGAUGUUCUGAAUGAACUGAAACGGGAUAUUUGCCAGCAAUUGGGUUUUGGUGAGUUCUGUUGCUCAAAUGUGUGGGUUAUUUGAUGGAAUUUGAGAAGUUUGAUGAAGCUCAAGCUGCCAUAUCUGCAAUGAAUGGUGUGGAAAUUCUAACAAAGAUCAUCUCAGUUGACUGGGCCUUCAGCAACUUCCAUCGUGAAUUUGGUGACCAUGGGGUGUCUUCCGAUAGUGUUAGGGACACAUUAUUUCAGUAAAUGUAACCUUUCGGAACUUUGCAAAUGUCAUAUUCAGUUGAAUUCCAUCUUGUUUCUGCGUAUCCAAAUCUAAGCUAGACUAAGUGCUUCAUCCUACUUGCGAGAAUCAGACACUAAUGAUUGCAGUACUAUCAGAGUUGGAAGCAUUGAUCUGAGCUUUUAGGUCAUAUGUGAGAUUUGGAAGCAUCGAUCUGAUAAUCAGAUAAUUCACCUGGUAAUGAAUUGCCCUGUUAUUGUCCCCAUGAGGAUGAAAGAUGUGGUCGAAUCAUGAGGAUACCGAAGCCAUUGGCUCAGAUUAUGAUCGUUACUUGCAUAAUUGAGGACAAGCUCCGUCGUUUAGAUUUGCUUCUGAUAUCAAGGAUCUCGGCCAGCUGCAGAUAGGCUUUGAAUUAGGUUCACCAUUCAAACCAUUCAAUCAGCUGAUGGGUGUCUUUCCAGCCGCAAGUUCGCUUGCGCUACCUGAGCAUUAUAGGAAAUUGAUGAGCGACCCAACUUCACCGAUUAUUGAUUUUUAUCCGACUGGUAUGUUCUAUGGUCUCGAAAAUACGUAGUGUUAAAGUCGUUAAGAGGUUUGCAUGGCAGGUUAGAUUCUUAAAUUUCUUGUGUAGAGUGCUGGAUAUUUGGGUUCUUGAUAUCUGUUUUAUGGGAGAGUUGAAAAUCUCAUUUAUACCAAUUACUCGAGAUUCUCUUUUUGUAGGGUAUCCCUAAACUACUAUUCAUCGAUGAAAGUCGUCUUCUUACAAAGCGUAGUAUAUAUUGCUUUGGAUCUAUUACAGGGUUAGCGUAGUUGCUAUUGCCAGGUUCAAUGAAUUUGAGGAAAUGCGAGAAACGGAUUCAUGCAAAAUAUAUUGUUCAUCCAGAUGCAUCUAACACUUUAUUUGUCGAAUGGUUGCCUGCAAAUUGUACAAAACGUGAAUUCUCUCGUAUCCUUUUUAUCAGCAGACUUUAUCUGCAAGCUUACUCUUCUUCUUUCUUCACUUUAUGUGAAGCUUAUCUCCAUUUGCAUACACAAAUUUAUUUUACCAUGUCUCCUCAUCGUUGCUGCUUGCAUAGGAUUCCAAAAUAGUAUAUUUGCAUCGCGAUGGAGCAUCAUUAGUGCACUUUGGUUGAGUGAUAUAGUUUUCCAUCAUUUCUUGGCUGUUUCUGCCAUUUUUAUUUGAAUUGUGGUUUUGUUUUCAUUUUUAUUAUAAGAAGAUAUACUUAAUGACUUAAUACCCCUCUUGUAGGUUACAGACCAAAACCUUGAUAUUUUGCAGAAGACACCUGCUUGUGUACCUUAUGCUUUGCGGCAUUAAUAUUAUCAGUAUUUAUCGUCCAUCGCUGUGGCUGUUGAGGUAUGAACUUAAAUGAUGAUUUGAUAAAUUGUUAAUUGACAGGGAUAAACUUUUUGGUGAGCUUGCAUCUAUGAGUGCAAGGUGUAGUUCUUGUUCCGACCAUAUAUUCUUAGAAUUGUCAAAGAAAGCAAGAUGUUGUUAAUCAAACUGAUGCAUGGAUAAUUUUCAGAUACAAAUCUGAAUACAUUCACCAUAGAGUGCAAGACCAGUAUGUCAGAAACAUGUUGUUAGCAGUCGCAGUCAUCUUCCUAAAUAGUUAAGUUGUUGCUUGAUUUUAUAACCUGAUUAUGCCUAUUUCAACAUGCUGAUUGCUCGACUCUGCAUAUAGUUAUUUCACUUCCUGUAUUGCAGGAGAAGAUCUCAAUUCUUAGAGAAAAUGACACAUUACUAAAAGCAAAGGAAAAGCUGAAUCUUUAGAUGGAUUCUUUGCUGAAAAACAAAGAUUUAGCUGACGGUCAAAUUAUGGCACUAACAAAAUCAUUGGAAGCUCUUCAAAAAGAUCUUAAGGACCGAGAGCUUCAGGUACAAGAUUUGAAGCAGUCAUUGGAGCUUCAAAGACAGGAACUAAAUGACUGCAGAGUGAGAUCACUUUACUAAAAAUGCAUAUAGAGGGGUAGAAAAUUCUAUGGAAUCACAUCUCCGCGCUUUUGGUGAAAGAGAACGCUGGAAAAUUGAAGUUUUAUUGCGGAUGUUGACAAAGCUGCUUCCAUUCGUGCACUGAAAAGUGAUUGAGACUUGCUCAUUUCCCUCUGCAAUGAGAUCUUCUGCAUCUUCUGAAACAUAGGGAUUCUUCAUAAUAUCCUUGUUUGAAUUGUACGCAGGCUGUGUUAUACUUUCCUCUCACUUUUCUUGUUUAUGAAGUACCGAUUAAGUAUGCAUGAAGUCCUUUUAUCAUUGUACUGUCUCGAUGUAUACGUAUUUAUAAGUCAGCCAACAUAAGAAUCUGCGCUGACCUCCACAUGUGUUGUUUCUUAUUUUCCUCUAAAGAUCAUCUUCAAAUACAUUA